rnacentral:rRNA from 1 species
GCCGCGUGGAGGANGAAGGCUUUCGAGUCGUAAACUCCUGUCCUCGGGGACGAAGGAAGUGACGGUACCCGGGGAGGAAGCCCCGGCUAACUCCGUGCCAGCAGCCGCGGUAAUACGGGGGGGGGCAAGCGUUGUUCGGAAUUACUGGGCGUAAAGGGCGCGUAGGCGGCCCCAGAAGUUUUGGGUGAAAGUCCUCGGCUCAACCGAGGAAUGGCCUGGAAAACCAUGGGGCUGGAGUGCUGGAGAGGCCGGCGGAAUUCCUGGUGUAGCGGUGAAAUGCGUAGAUAUCAGGAGGAACACCCGAGGCGAAGGCGGCCGGCUGGACAGACACUGACGCCGAGGCGCGAAAGCUAGGGGAGCAAACGGGAUUAGAUACCCCGGUAGUCCUAGCCGUAAACGAUGGGCACUUGGUGUGGGGGGNNUAGAAGUCCCUCCGUGCCGGCGAUAACUCGUUAAGUGCCCCGCCUGGGGAGUACGAUCGCAAGAUUGAAACUCAAAGGAAUUGACGGGGGCCCGCACAAGCGGUGGAGCAUGUGGUUUAAUUCGACGCAACGCGAAGAACCUUACCGGGGUUUGAACUGCAGUCGGCAGCGGCAGAGAUGUCGUGUUUUCUUCGGAAACGGCUGCGGAGGUGCUGCAUGGCUGUCGUCAGCUCGUGUCGUGAGAUGUUGGGUUAAGUCCCGCAACGAGCGCAACCCUUGUCUGUAGUUGCCAUCAGGUCGAGCUGGGCACCCUACGGAGACUGUCGGCGAAAAGCCGGAG